UGGAUGAUGGAAGGACUACAGCCAAACAUCAGGACAGAAGUCUGCAUGAGUCGGUGUCGAUUGCCGUCUUAUUGUUUAGCUACAUACACCACAACGGCUCUUUUAAGAGCCACAUCUUGAGAACGUCUUUGACUUUCAGCUACAUACACCACAACGGCUCUUUUAAGAGCCACAUCUUGAGAACAUCUUUGACUUUGUAAGUAUAUAUUUUAAAUGACCACUCAGUAUUUGGGUUUAGAUCAAUUACAACAUCAUGCAGCAUGUUAGUAAUGUCUUAAUGAAGACAUUAAAGAGAUUCUUACAUACAUAAAUACUAGCAUCCUGCUAGUCUCUGAUCUCUGAUUUGCCAGUUUCAUCAUAACAAUUGAUUUUUGAUACCAGGAAUUCACAUUUUUAAACGGAUAGUUCACCCAAAAAUGUUAAAUCUGUCAUUAAUUACUCAACCUCCACGUCAUUUCUAUUUUCGAAACACAAAUUAAGAAACAACACACGGCUGGCCCUCUACCUGAAUGUUUUCAUGGAUCUUCACAGUACAAAGAAAUAAAAACCUGCUCUUACACUCUUAAACUGGACCAGGCCAACAGUUAUGUUUACAUUGAUGGGAAAGUUGCAAAGCUGCAAAAUAUAAUUUCAGCGAAGGAUGACAUUUACGUGGCCUACACUACCUUCAACAAUCAUGAACCUUUUUUUGAUUAUCCCCUUCCAUCCUCAGAGCUUGGUAUUCAUCUAGU